rnacentral:rRNA from 1 species
GAUGAACGCUGGCGGCGUGCCUAAUACAUGCAAGUCGAGCGAACAGACGAGGAGCUUGCUCCUCUGACGUUAGCGGCGGACGGGUGAGUAACACGUGGAUAACCUACCUAUAAGACUGGGAUAACUUCGGGAAACCGGAGCUAAUACCGGAUCAUAUAUUGAACCGCAUGGUUCAAUAGUGAAAGACGGUUUUGCUGUCACUUAUAGAUGGAUCCGCGCCGCAUUAGCUAGUUGGUAAGGUAACGGCUUACCAAGGCGACGAUGCGUAGCCGACCUGAGAGGGUGAUCGGCCACACUGGAACUGAGACACGGUCCAGACUCCUACGGGAGGCAGCAGUAGGGAAUCUUGCGCAAUGGGCGAAAGCCUGACGGAGCAACGCCGCGUGAGUGAUGAAGGUCUUCGGAUCGUAAAACUCUGUUAUUAGGGAAGAACAAAUGUGUAAGUAACUAUGCACGUCUUGACGGUACCUAAUCAGAAAGCCACGGCUAACUACGUG